rnacentral:lncRNA from 1 species
AUUUAGUUUUGCUGACUGGUGUAGCUUUGGCAGGGAAAGGGAAGGGAGAAAAUCGUUCUCUCAACAUUCAAAAAAUUGACGGGGCAGUUUAAUCUUUUUCUUUUUUGAAGUCCCAGUUCUAUUUUCUUCUGGCUUGGCUCUAGUCUCUGUCAAAUCACAACAGACACGGCAACUUCUGGCACAACAAAGCAAUGGGGAAAGAGUGGUUGUUUAGUAAGAGGUCUUGGAAAAACUCGCUCACAACUUGGAGAAAAAUAAAACUGGCUCCCUACCUGACACUACAUACAGAGAAAGCACCAGAAGCUUUUUUUCCCCCUGCAUGUACAAGCCUUCACAGGGAGAGCAAUGGUGUUAUAUCUGCACAGAGGCUCCAGCUUAGACAAGCUCCACAAAGCCAUCAGUGAAUUCCCAGGACGCCAAGCCACUGAAGCAAGUUUCUGUCUCCAUAAACCAAGACAUAAG